rnacentral:rRNA from 1 species
UGGGGAAUAUUGCACAAUGGAGGGAACUCUGAUGCAGCAACGCCGCGUGCGGGAUGACGGCCUUCGGGUUGUAAACCGCUUUCAGCCAUGACGAAGCUUUUGUGACGGUAGUGGUAGAAGAAGCACUGGCUAACUACGUGCCAGCAGCCGCGGUGAUACGUAGGGUGCGAGCGUUGUCCGGAAUUAUUGGGCGUAAAGAGCUUGUAGGCGGUUUGUCGCGUCGAUAGUGUAAACACGCAGCUUAACUGUGUGCCUGCUGUCGAUACGGGCUGACUAGAGGAGGGUAGGGGAGAAUGGAAUUCCCGGUGGAGCGGUGGAAUGCGCAGAUAUCGGGAGGAACACCAGUGGCGAAGGCGGUUCUCUGGACCUUUCCUGACGCUGAGAAGCGAAAGCGUGGGUAGCAAACAGG